rnacentral:rRNA from 3 species
GUUGUAUAGUCAAGUAAUUAAGUGCAUGUGGUGGAUGCCUUGGCAGUCAGAGGCGAUGAAAGACGUAAUAGCCUGCGAUAAGCUCCGGGGAGGCGGCAAAUAUCCUGUGAUCCG